AUGCACGCUGGCGGCGUGCCUAAUACAUGCAAGUCGAGCGAACAGAUGAGGAGCUUGCUCCUCUGACGUUAGCGGCGGACGGGUGAGUAACACGUGGAUAACCUACCUAUAAGACUGGGAUAACUUCGGGAAACCGGAGCUAAUACCGGAUAAUAUAUUUAACCGCAUGGUUCAAUAGUGAAAGACGGUUUUGCUGUCACUUAUAGAUGGAUCCGCGCCGCAUUAGCUAGUUGGUAAGGUAACGGCUUACCAAGGCAACGAUGCGUAGCCGACCUGAGAGGGUGAUCGGCCACACUGGAACUGAGACACGGUCCAGACUCCUACGGGAGGCAGCAGUAGGGAAUCUUCCGCAAUGGGCGAAAGCCUGACGGAGCAACGCCGCGUGAGUGAUGAAGGUCUUCGGAUCGUAAAACUCUGUUAUUAGGGAAGAACAAAUGUGUAAGUAACUAUGCACGUCUUGACGGUACCUAAUCAGAAAGCCACGGCUAACUACGUG
rnacentral:rRNA from 1 species